rnacentral:rRNA from 1 species
UACGUAGGGUGCAAGCGUUAAUCGGAAUUACUGGGCGUAAAGCGCGCGUAGGCGGCUUUGUAAGUUAGAGGUGAAAGCCCGGGGCUCAACCCCGGAACUGCCUUUAAGACUGCAUCGCUUGAAUCCAGGAGAGGUGAGUGGAAUUCCGAGUGUAGAGGUGAAAUUCGUAGAUAUUCGGAAGAACACCAGUGGCGAAGGCGGCUCACUGGACUGGUAUUGACGCUGAGGUGCGAAAGCGUGGGGAGCAAACAGG